rnacentral:rRNA from 1 species
GACGAACGCUGGCGGCGUGCCUAAUACAUGCAAGUAGAACGCUGAAGGAGGAGCUUGCUCUUCUGGAUGAGUUGCGAACGGGUGAGUAACGCGUAGGUAACCUGCCUGGUAGCGGGGGAUAACUAUUGGAAACGAUAGCUAAUACCGCAUAACAUUGACUAUUGCAUGAUAGUUAAUUGAAAGGUGCAAAUGCACCACUACCAGAUGGACCUGCGUUGUAUUAGCUAGUUGGUGGGGUAACGGCUCACCAAGGCGACGAUACAUAGCCGACCUGAGAGGGUGAUCGGCCACACUGGGACUGAGACACGGCCCAGACUCCUACGGGAGGCAGCAGUAGGGAAUCUUCGGCAAUGGACGGAAGUCUGACCGAGCAACGCCGCGUGAGUGAAGAAGGUUUUCGGAUCGUAAAGCUCUGUUGUAAGAGAAGAACGAGUGUGAGAGUGGAAAGUUCACGCUGUGACG